AUUGAACGCUGGCGGAAUGCUUUACACAUGCAAGUCGAACGGCAGCACGGGUGCUUGCACCUGGUGGCGAGUGGCGAACGGGUGAGUAAUAUAUCGGAACGUAUCCAAUAAUGGGGGAUAACUAGCCGAAAGGUUAGCUAAUACCGCAUACGCCCUGAGGGGGAAAGCUGGGGAUCGUAAGACCUAGCGUUGAUGGAGCGGCCGAUAUCUGAUUAGCUAGUUGGUGGGGUAAGAGCCUACCAAGGCGACGAUCAGUAGCUGGUCUGAGAGGACGACCAGCCACACUGGAACUGAGACACGGUCCAGACUCCUACGGGAGGCAGCAGUGGGGAAUUUUGGACAAUGGGGGCAACCCUGAUCCAGCCAUUCCGCGUGAGUGAAGAAGGCCUUCGGGUUGUAAAGCUCUUUCGCAAGGGAAGAAAACUCGAUCUCUAAUAUAGGUUGAGGCUGACGGUACCUUGAUAAGAAGCACCGGCUAACUACGUGCCAGCCGCCGCAGUAA
rnacentral:rRNA from 1 species